GAUGAACGCUAGCUACAGGCUUAACACAUGCAAGUCGAGGGACCGGCGCACGGGUGAGUAACACGUAUCCAACCUGCCCUUUACUCGGGGAUAGCCUUUCGAAAGAAAGAUUAAUACCCGAUAUAAAGGAUGGGGAUGCGUUCCAUUAGGUUGUUGGUGAGGUAACGGCCCACCAAGCCUUCGAUGGCUAGGGGUUCUGAGAGGAAGGCCCCCCGCAUUGGAGCUGAGACACGGACUAAAACCGUACGCAAGGGUGCAGAGUGGAAUAUAGUGCACUGAGGGGUGGCAUGGACAAGCCGAGUAGCGUGAAGGAUGAAGGGUUAUGGGUCGUAAACUUCUGUUAUAGAAGAAGAUGUAUUAUAUGAAUAAGCAUCGGCUAACUCCGUGCCAGCAGCCGCGGUAAUAC
rnacentral:rRNA from 1 species